rnacentral:lncRNA from 1 species
AAGACGAGGAGCCGCUCCUCGACGAGCUCGGGAUCCACCCCGAUCAGAUCUGGAAGAAGACCAGAUCCAUCCUCAACCCGUUCCGGAUCAACCAAACCGUCCACCACGACUCGGAUCUAUCCGGCCCGAUCUUCCUCUACCUCGCGCUCUGCCUAUUCCAGCUCCUCGCGGGGAAGAUCCAGUUCGGGGUGAUCCUCGGGUGGAUCGUGGUGUCGUCGAUCUUCCUCUACGCGGUGUUCAACAUGCUCGCGGGGAGGAAUGGGAAUCUGAAUCUGCACACGUGUACGAGUUUGGUUGGGUACUGUUUGCUUCCGGUGGUGAUUUUGUCUGCUGUGUCGUUGUUUGUGCCGCAGGGAGCUGGGGCGGUUAGGUUUGUGGUUGCGGGGGUGUUUGUGUUGUGGUCGACGAGGGCGUGCUCGGCGUUGGUUGUGUCUUUGGCUGAUGGUGGGGAGGAGCAUCGUGGGUUGAUCUCUUACGCUUGUUUCUUGAUCUAUACGCUCUUCUCUCUUCUUGUUAUAUUUUGAUGAUUUUAUGGAGUAUUGAUAGUUUUUUUUUUAAUCUAAAGUUUGUUUGAUUUUGUGGUGGGUAUAGUGGAGCGAUGUGUAAAGGCUUCAUGUUUUAAUUUUAAUUCAAUGUUUGUAUCUUUUGACUUCAGGAUUUUAUAUUUACAGAGUUUAUUAUCAAUGUGUUUGUGAAAGUGUAUCUGAGUGAAUGAUCAUCGGGAUUUUACAUGCGGUGAACUAAUGGAGAAGAAGCUGUGUAUUGAGAAGAGCUUAUCUGCUUCUGUUUUAGUGUUUCUUUUGCCUUUUUGAUUUCCGGUUAGGAUGUUGUGGAGAUGUGGUUUUAGAUCCGAUUAGGAAUGCUUGACACUGUUAGGAGAGGAUUUGCCUAUUUGAUUAUGGUUUUAGGUAAGCAAAAAUAAAAUAAAAAUGAGUUGGUUUAAGCAUUUUGGCUGUUUGGAACUAAGGCUUAGUCGAAUGAAAUGCUCUGAUCAUCCUCUGGAUUGGUCUGUUCUCCGAUUAGGUGUCUAUAGGGAAGUAGAAGGAAAAAUAUUCUUGGCUUCAACAUAUUCUACUACUGUCAAUCCCAGAUUCUUGCCCUCCCUAAGAGUAUUCGCUGUGUCAUAAAACGAGUUUUCUACUCAAUCAUGUUCUUUUGAUGGAAAUUGCAUUAAACAGCAUAUUGGUUAGCUUGACAUCCGCGCAGAGAUCAGAGUAAGGCAGGAGAUCUUAUCUUAACUUGUGUUUGGUCUGAACAGAGGGAGAGGGUUUAGUCGAAAACUUCAUAUAAUAUAUAGAUCAAAAGAGAAAGAAGGAACAUAAAAAGGGUUCGAGACCCAUAUAUAUUCUUAAAGCGUCUCUUUUGUAUCUCUUCCAACAAAAAACCUCGGGUGGAUCGUGGUGUCGUCGAUCUUCCUCUACGCGGUGUUCAACAUGCUCGCGGGGAGGAAUGGGAAUCUGAAUCUGCACACGUGUACGAGUUUGGUUGGGUACUGUUUGCUUCCGGUGGUGAUUUUGUCUGCUGUGUCGUUGUUUGUGCCGCAGGGAGCUGGGGCGGUUAGGUUUGUGGUUGCGGGGGUGUUUGUGUUGUGGUCGACGAGGGCGUGCUCGGCGUUGGUUGUGUCUUUGGCUGAUGGUGGGGAGGAGCAUCGUGGGUUGAUCUCUUACGCUUGUUUCUUGAUCUAUACGCUCUUCUCUCUUCUUGUUAUAUUUUGAUGAUUUUAUGGAGUAUUGAUAGUUUUUUUUUUAAUCUAAAGUUUGUUUGAUUUUGUGGUGGGAAUAGUGGAGCGAUGUGUAAAGGCUUCAUGUUUUAAUUUUAAUUCAAUGUUUGUAUCUUUUGACUUCAGGAUUUUAUAUUUACAGAGUUUAUUAUCAAUGUGUUUGUGAAAGUGUAUCUGAGUGAAUGAUCAUCGGGAUUUUACAUGCGGUGAACUAAUGGAGAAGAAGCUGUGUAUUGAGAAGAGCUUAUCUGCUUCUGUUUUAGUGUUUCUUUUGCCUUUUUGAUUUCCGGUUAGGAUGUUGU